ACUACAGAGUACAGGCCUUCGGUUUUUAGUAUUGAGAAUUACAUAAAUACAUACUUAUAAACAGUGUUAUGAGUUGUCAACUUAUUUACAAAAAUUUGUUCCGACGUUUUGAAAUUAUAUAUUGUUAAUAACUACUUAGUUUGUGUAACUUUUAUACAAUAAUAUAAAAAUACAUAUGUAAUACAAAUGUGUUCGAGCCUCGGGAAUUUCCCAACAAUCAUAUUUUAUGCAGAGUGCUUCAGCCUGAAGUGAACUGAAUUUAAUCAGUCCAAAUCCGGAACGCAUUCUUUGUCAAAUCCAAAGCCAAGCCUCCAAAAAGUUGUACACUUGCAGAUUGUUGUGAAUAAUAAUAGUAAUAGUUCUGUAGACAAAUUAAAUAAACUAGGUCCAGAUCAAUAUGGCAUACUAUGAAGAUAUUAUUGAGACACAAGAUGGUAACUCAGUUCUUUGCAUCCUAUGCAAAAUCUCCUUGGAAAAUA